rnacentral:rRNA from 1 species
UGGGGAAUAUUGCGCAAUGGGCGAAAGCCUGACGCAGCCAUGCCGCGUGUGUGAAGAAGGCCUUAGGGUUGUAAAGCACUUUCAAUAGAGAGGAAAAGCUUGUCGUUAAUACCGGCAAGCCCUGACGUUACCUAUAGAAGAAGCACCGGCUAACUCCGUGCCAGCAGCCGCGGUAAUACGGAGGGUGCGAGCGUUAAUCGGAAUUACUGGGCGUAAAGCGCGCGUAGGCGGUUUGUUAAGUCGGAUGUGAAAUCCCCGGGCUCAACCUGGGAACUGCACCCGAUACUGGCCGACUAGAGUACGAGAGAGGGAGGUAGAAUUCCACGUGUAGCGGUGAAAUGCGUAGAUAUGUGGAGGAAUACCAGUGGCGAAGGCGGCCUCCUGGCUCGAUACUGACGCUGAGGUGCGAAAGCGUGGGGAGCAAACAGG